UGACGCUGCAGGGCGGGCGGGGUAAAGAAGGGAGCGAGCCCUUCUCAAGCUUGGAAAGUUUCCAGACUGCUGGGCCAGCCUCCUCCCCAGAGGGAAACUGAGGUCCGAUUGAGGUUUCUCCAAGACCGCCCACUCCUGCUCCUGUCCCCAAACCCCUUUCUGCCUAGGGUUCCUGGAAGCCAAGGAAACAGAACGAACUGUUCCCUGGGUGGGCGAGCCACUGCAGAGUACAAAGCUUUCAGGCCGCCUGCCUCAUUAGCACUAAUGGCUGCUCCCUUCCGCCCUGUGUCGUCAGGACUGUCUAUGCCUGGUCUCAUCAGCACAAGGCUGGGCUGAAGAAGUCCCAGGAGUCCUCCCAUGUCCUCUCAGCAACCCAGGCUGGAGCCUACUCCUUGGUGUUGGCAAAGGAAACCGUCUUUGAAGCCAGAGGGAGCCCUGAAUUCAUGCAGAGGAGUUUUUCUACCUUCCAUCUGCUUCUGCAUAUCAUCUUGUCUACUUAAUGCCCCUCCUUCCGGAUUUAUAGAACAGUAUGCAUAAUAUGACCCCAACUGCAUUCCAAAAAAUAGAUGUAGAUGUAAGCUUAGAGAUGCAAAGAAACUUUUUGAGAGAAUUCACUAUGCUUCUCGCGGGUGGUGACACAGUUCAAGGAGGUUCCAUGGGGUGUAAUGUUUAUCUUUCUCUUUUGUCCUUCUGAUCAUUGAAAUGAUGCUUUGUGUGUGUGAACAUGUAUUACUUUUAUAAUUAAAAUAGAAAAAUUAAUUUGAAUGGGACAAAUGCUCGAAGUCAAAGUCACCUGUUAUAACUGCUGUCACUAACAGGGCAACUGUUUGAAAAUGCUGCAGAAACAUGAGAAAUGUUCAUGAAGUGACCCUGUGGAGGCUUCCGGUCACAGGAUCAUGUGAGCGCCACGAUCACCCCAGGGGUGGAGCAGAUGCUAAGUGUUCACCACACCCAAUUCUCUUCCUGGACACACAGGAAGAUGACAUUUCCAGUGACAUGCCCCACCUCUAGGCCCUAGUCUUUUUUUUAUUUAAAGGUCUGAGUCUUGUUCUGUCACCCAGGCUGGAGUGCAGUGCUGUGAUCAUGACUCACUGCAGCCUCAACCUCCUGUGCUCAAACAAUCCUCCCACCUCAGCCUCCCUAAUAGCUGAUGUCAUAUAGGCAUGAGCCAGUGUGCCUGGCUCAGGCCCUACCCUUAAAAGCAUCCCACCUGAUUCACCAGCCCCCUUCUCUCUCUCAGUAAACUUGGAAACCACGCAUUCCAGAUGGUAUAAUUUACAGCAUGAUGGAAAAAGCCAGCUCUCCAUGGGAAGCUGGCCAGUCUUCAUUGGAGUACAUUUUUAUUGCAUGAAGCCAAUGAGACUUGAUAUUGUUUAACUCUGUGGUUUCCAAAGUGCGGUCCUUUUGAAGUAUCCAUAAAGUCUACACUAGGUUCACGGUAAUAUUAAGAUGUUAUUUGUCA
rnacentral:lncRNA from 10 species